CCCAAAUCCGAAGCUCGUGAAGGAUAAAGUGUAGUACAAGUUGUUGCCGUCAUUUUAAGCUAAAGAUCGGACUUGGGGGUGUUGAUUUCGUGGUGACUACCCAAAAAGGUUAAAGUUGAAGGGAUUGGAGGACAUUGUGAUACGCUCAAAAGCGGGAAGUUAAGGUACGGAUUUACAGGACGACGCUUCUGCUCAUUAGGAUUUGCACGUAUCAGCUUAUCGGUGAGCCCCAUCUCAUUCGGGGUUUAGACAUUGUAUUUCUUUAUUUAGCUUUUCAUCUAAAGGUAUGCUGGGGGCCUUGUCCCAGUAAGUAUAUUUUUCAGUCAGACUCAUGAUAGAGGUUUCAUAGACUAGACAAGUCAGUUAUGUCAUGUCAGACAUUUGGAGUCUUAUAGCCAUUUUGGCUCACUCAUGUUUAAACAAGUAUUUAUUUAAGUAUUAUGACUUACUAAGUUUCAUAAAGGCU